rnacentral:sRNA from 12 species
UCCAUUGUUUACUGAAAACUUUAAAUUACAACUUAUUAGACUUUCAGGAGAGCAUAGUCUCAUAUAAAGCUAAAAAGAAGCUCUCU